GCAGAGUGUUUAGUGUGAACUAGGGAAAAAGAUCACUUUUUUGGCUUCGUUGAUAUACCAACAAAGUCUCCUUCCUCGUCUUCUUCCGUCGUUGUCCACCAAUCAAACAACCCUACAACUCACGCCGUGGACGAAGCUUCCUCCUCCCCCUUCUAACUAAACAAAAGGAUAAUGCCCAAAGAGGGCUUCUAUGUGCCCGCAGAAAGUCUCACCAACCUUGGUCUUUGUGUUUUCCCAUCUCUCUGCUACUUUUUUUUGGUGAUUUGGUUUUUGGUUUUGAUUCGUGAAAUGCGGAGGUCUGGGUGUUGAAGAGGUUUGGCAACCGUGGGAUUAGGGUAAUUCCUGAAAAUGGUUGAUGAAAAUGAAUAUCGGGCCUCCAAUUUGCAUACAAGCAUUGAACUCGAAAGAUUUACCACCCGAAGUGCAUCAAUGUCUAUACCUCCGCCGAUUGAAUAUGAUGAGAGUGAAGAAGCUGUUUUAUUUCAUACUGGCCCUCUUCGAAAUCAACGAAAUCCCCUGUUUAUACCCAUGAGUGGACCUUUAUGUGGUUUGAACCAGAAGAGUAGCAGAAAUGUUUUUGGGUCUAAUCACAGCAAACAACGAAACAAGUUUCAUGCAGUCACACCUGAAGAAAUUGGCAGAAGGGACCAAUCUGACAUCAGUGCUAGUGAAAGGAAUGAUCACUUGCUUAAGUCUGGUCCUCUGGCAAUUUGCAGCAACCCUAACUGUGUUGUCUGCCCUGGUGCCUAUAAAACAGAACCAAGUGGUUACAAACAAUCCGUUUCUCUCAAAAACAGGCUCCAUAAAAAUAUUUAUGAGGAUGUUGAUGGUUGGCUGGAGAAAUUUCAUAAUCUUUUUGAUUCAUAUUUUCCAAUCAUGAAUCCUCAUACGAAACGUGUCCAGCAGUGGAACAAGUUCUUUGUUAUUUCUUGCUUGGUGGCUAUCUUCAUUGAUCCAUUAUUUUUCUUCCUACUUUCUCUGCGGCAGGUUGAUAAGUGUAUAGUGUUGGACUGGUCACUGGCAACAACUAUUGCUGUUGUGAGGAGCUUGACUGAUUUCUUCUACCUUUUACAUAUGCUUCUUCAGUUUAGGCUGGCAUAUGUUGCUCCCGAAUCUAGAGUCGUUGGGGCUGGCGAUUUAGUAGUUAAACCAAAGAAAAUUGCCUUACACUAUCUUCGGGGUUAUUUUAUAAUCGAUCUUUUUGUUGUCCUGCCGCUUCCUCAGCUUAUGAUAUUGGUAUUGAUACCAAAAUAUGUGGGAACAUCAUCAGCAAACUAUGCAAAAAAUCUUUUACGCACUAUUAUCCUCCUUCAGUAUAUCCCAAGAAUUUUCAGAUUCCUACCACUGCUUGCUGGCCAAUCUGCAGGUGGUUUCAUAUUUGAGUCAGCAUGGGCAAACUUUGUUAUAAAUCUUCUCAUGUUUGUAUUGGCUGGACAUGUUGUUGGCUCAUGUUGGUACCUUUUUGGCUUACAGAGGGUGAAUCAAUGUCUACGUGAUGCCUGUUAUUUAUCCAAUAUUACUGAUUGUCAAUGGUUCAUAGAUUGUGGACGCAGACCUCAUAUUAUAAGAUUUGAUACAUACCCAACUUGGACAGAUUGGAAAAAUGAUUCUAUUUCCAGUGAUUGCUUUAAUUCCGAUGGUGGCCAUUUUGAGUAUGGGAUUUAUCAACAAGCUGUUAAUUUGACAACAAGACAUAGUAUUGUUACACGAUACAUAUAUUCCCUGUUUUGGGGUUUUCAGCAAAUCAGCACCUUAGCCGGCAACCUCGUUCCAAGUUACUUUGAGUGGGAAGUUUUGUUCACUAUGGCGAUUGUUGGAUUGGGACUUCUGCUUUUUGCAUUGCUCAUCGGAAAUAUGCAGAAUUUUCUUCAAGCUCUUGGAAGGCGGAAAUUAGAAAUGCAACUCAGAAGACGUGAUGUUGAACAAUGGAUGAGCCAUCGACGUAUGCCAGAAGAGUUAAGGAGGCAAGUUAGACAAGCGGAACGAUUUAGUUGGGCUGCCACUAGAGGCAUAAAUGAAGAAGAGCUAAUAGAGUGUUUACCUGAGGACAUACAGAUAGACGUACGCCGCCACUAUUUUCAGUUUAUCAAGAAAGUUCGUAUUUUCACCCGUAUGGAUGAACCAUUUUUAGAUGCUAUCUGUGCAAAAUUAAGGCAGAAGUUGUACAUUCAAGGAAGUAAUGUUUUGUAUAAAGGAGGCCAAAUCGAAACGAUGAUCUUCAUUGUAAGGGGUAAAAUGGAGUCAGUUGGAGCUGAUGGUAAUACAUCUCCAUUGUCAGAAGGGGAUGUUUGUGGUGAAGAACUACUGACAUGGUAUCUUGAAUACUCCUCAGUAAACAAAGAUGGAGGGAAAAUUAAGGUUCCAGGACACCGUUUAAUUUCUACCAGGAUGGUCAAAUGUUCGACGAACGUUGAAGCCUUUGCACUCCAUGCUUCAGAUAUUGAAGAAGUCACUGCAACAUUCUCACGGUACUUACGGAACCCGCGUGUUCGCGGAGUAAUCAGAUAUGAAUCACCAUAUUGGAGGUAUAUGGCCGCAACCCGCAUUCAGGUUGCAUGGCGGUACAGGCAGAGACGGUUAAAAAGGACGGAGACACCGAAUAGGACAGAUACACCGAAGCACCCGUCUGGUUAUUCAAACUCUAGUAUCUGGCGACAACAGUGAGUUAAACUUGAUGAUGGAAGUUGGAUUCUUGAAGAGACAGUAGUGACUUUAGUCAUGCACUUCCAUUAAUGGUCAACCAUAAGCUCAGAAAAUGAAGUACAAAUGGCCAGCUAUUGCCUCUCUUAUUUCAAAGUCAUAAAAACUAAACUGUUCAAAGCCAUGCAAAAAUGAACUGCUGAUUCCAGUCUUGACUUCAAAAGUAGUUGACAGUUUUUAUCAUGCACUGUCCGUGUCAUUAAUUGGCUUAAUGACUAUUUAAUUGACAAUUUGCUCCAUGUCAGACACAAUGUCAAUGCUUCUGAUUUGAAGUUAAGAAUUUGUUUAAUUGUGGAUAACUUUGGAGUUGUUUUCAUUGUGAAUACGAUGUCAUUAAACCACUUAUCAUCCAUACUUUUCUUAUAUGUUAUUUUAAUUUAUCUGAUCAUUAUUAUUAUUAUUAUUAUUUGAAUACUCCAAAACAUUAAAAA